UUUAAGUGCAACAAUAAGUUUCCGCGUCCAACUUUGAUCGUCCGUCUUAUUUGAAUUUUUUUUAUAAUUAGUAUUUUUGUUGUUAUGAGAUGAUAAAACAUUAAUAGUACUUUACUCGUGACUUUGUUUUUAAAUUUUUUAAAUUUUUUUUCAAAUAACACGGACAGUCAAAGUUGGGCGCGAAGAACCAUGGCUACACUUAAA
rfam:Oryza glumipatula chromosome 4, whole genome shotgun sequence.